rnacentral:lncRNA from 1 species
CAGGUUGGAGGGAGGGCCCAGCCUCCUCCCUGCCUUUGUGCGCGUGCACGCGCGCGCGUGCACACACACACACACACACACACACACACAGACACACGGGGCGCUCCGGCCUGCAGCCCUGCAAGGCUGGGGGGUGGGGCGGGGGGAGAAGGGGGCCUCUGCUCACCACCCUGGGGGGACUCCAGACAGACCUCGUGCCUUCCACCCUCAUCGGCCUGCGGAAGCGCUGAGGACCCUCCCAGGCAGGAGACGCAGAAAUGGAGAAAGGGAGGACACGGGGGUGUUUCCCGGACACUGGCCUCCAGGGCUGGGAGUGGACGGGACAGAUGCAGGAGGAGGAGGCGCCUCGGAGGAGGGGACAAGGAAUGUCCCGGAGCCAAAAGCAAACCCAGAUCCGGCGAGGAGGCGGCAAGCCAGGGCCAAGGGCCGGUGCGCGCCUGCGCAGAGGACAGGCGCCUCGGGGUCUCCCCAGAACCACCUGCCGGCAGCCCCAGCACCUCUCAGACCCGUGCCAGCCGCCCACCUGUCUCCUGCUGCUGUCCCAAUGGCAGGCGGUCGGGCGAGGACCUGGAGGAGCAUCACAGGACCUGGGCCCCGGUGAAUCUUGGACUUGGAGGCAUGGCGAGAGAGCAGACGCUCAGGACGGACGGACCGGCAGGCGGGGCUGUGCUGAAGUCCGAAUUCCUCAUCCUGAUUCUCUCACACGGCGCUCAAGUCCCACACGCAGUCUUGGCCCACAUCCAGGAGGACCUGAGCUGUACCCCAGAAUGGGCGGGGCUGGGGGGACUCAGGGGCUCCCCACGUAGAACCCGAGCCUCCAAUCCCCUUCCUUCGGAGGCACCACUCGCUAGGACAGUCAUCCAACCAGCUGGGGUGGGAGAAACGGAACAUCAGGGGUUGACCGCGAGGAGGCAGCUGGCGAUCCCGGUCCCCAGGGUAGUGGUGAUGCUAGAGGCAGGGGCUUGGGUCCCCGGGGACCAGGGCGGCCCUGCCCACACCCGCUCUCUGCAGCAUGUGUUUGAACGUGGGCGGCAGGACACCGCCUCUGCCUUCUGGUUUCUGAAUGGCCUCGUCCCCAUCCUGGUCCAACGACUUUAG